CCCACCCCACCCCCGCCACGGUCCUCGCCCCAUCCGCCGCUCUCGUGCGUGUGUGUGCGCGCGCACUAGGCGCCAGGCACGCGGAAAGGUCGUCAGCUCUACUUUGUUGCCAACGCAACAUCAGGUUUUGGCUCUGCCGCAGUGACAUCACUGCACAGCACUGCCACCACCACCUUGUUUUUGCUCGGUGGACCUCAAAGGUUGAAGCCCGCGACACUCUUCUGGCCGCAACAUAGUCUGCACCCAGGCUCACCGACCCAGACCACCCAGUGGUGUGCGACCCUGGCCUUUGAUAAAGUUGUUGUGGUGCUGCUUGGGCCAGAGUGCUAAAUCACCAAAGGUGCAACCCCUUGGUGCACAUAAAUGUGCAGCUCAAUGGCAAAUAUGGCCAACAUGGACGAAGGCCUGACAGACCACCAACUCUGAAUCUUCCCUUUGGGUGAUUGUGUGACACUGGGCGAUGGAUUUAUGCUCUGGAUCUCCUUUGUCCUUCUGUAAAAUGGAGUUGCUAUCAUGGCUAUCUUAUAGGACUGUGGUGAGGACACACACGACAGUGCAGUAAGCCCCAGGUCAGUGGCUGACUCCCCUUGGAGGGUAUGCACUUGUUAUUCAUCAAAAACAUAGCCAGCUUGAGGCCA
rnacentral:sRNA from 1 species